UACGUAGGGCGCAAGCGUUGUCCGGAAUUAUUGGGCGUAAAGAGCUCGUAGGCGGCUUGUCACGUCGGUUGUGAAAGCCCGGGGCUUAACCCCGGGUCUGCAGUCGAUACGGGCAGACUAGAGUGUGGUAGGGGAGAUCGGAAUUCCUGGUGUAGCGGUGAAAUGCGCAGAUAUCAGGAGGAACACCAAUGGCGAAGGCAGCUCGCUGGGACGGUACUGACGCUGAGGCGCGAAAGCGUGGGGAGCAAACAGG
rnacentral:rRNA from 1 species